rnacentral:rRNA from 1 species
UACACUCCUGCGGGAGGCAGCAGUGGGGAAUUUUGGACAAUGGGCGAAAGCCUGAUCCAGCAAUGCCGCGUGAGUGAAGAAGGCCUUCGGGUUGUAAAGCUCUUUUGUCAGGGAAGAAACGGUGAAAGCUAAUAUCUUUUGCUAAUGACGGUACCUGAAGAAUAAGCACCGGCUAACUACGUGCCAGCAGCCGCGGUAAUACGUAGGGUGCAAGCGUUAAUCGGAAUUACUGGGCGUAAAGCGUGCGCAGGCGGUUUUGUAAGUCUGAUGUGAAAUCCCCGGGCUCAACCUGGGAAUUGCAUUGGAGACUGCAAGGCUAGAAUCUGGCAGAGGGGGGUAGAAUUCCACGUGUAGCAGUGAAAUGCGUAGAUAUGUGGAGGAACACCGAUGGCGAAGGCAGCCCCCUGGGUCAAGAUUGACGCUCAUGCACGAAAGCGUGGGGAGCAAACAGGAUUAGAUACCCGUGUAGUCCCAU